rnacentral:rRNA from 1 species
CCUACGGGCUGCACCAGUGGGGAAUAUUGCACAAUGGGCGCAAGCCUGAUGCAGCCAUGCCGCGUGUAUGAAGAAGGCCUUCGGGUUGUAAAGUACUUUCAGCGGGGAGGAAGGCGGUGAGGUUAAUAACCUCGCCGAUUGACGUUACCCGCAGAAGAAGCACCGGCUAACUCCGUGCCAGCAGCCGCGGUAAUACGGAGGGUGCAAGCGUUAAUCGGAAUUACUGGGCGUAAAGCGCACGCAGGCGGUCUGUUAGGACAGAUGUGAAAUCCCCGGGCUUAACCUGGGAACUGCAUUUGAAGCUGGCAGGCUUGAGUCUCGUAGAGGGGGGUAGAAUUCCAGGUGUAGCGGUGAAAUGCGUAGAGAUCUGGAGGAAUACCGGUGGCGAAGGCAGCCCCCUGGACGAGGACUGACGCUCAGGUGCGAAAGCGUGGGGAGCAAACAGGAUUAGAUACCCCUGUAGUC